AAGGGCGCAGAGGCGGAAGAUGAGUCGCUAACCAAGAUGGUAGCGUUUAACGACGAUGUACUCAUACGAGGGCGAAUAUACCUUUGUGACUUGGCUGGAAGCGAGAGACUGAA